GUGUGUAUCUGUGUUUGUAUGUGUGUAUCUGUGUGUGUGUGUGUAUGUAUCUGACACACAGAUACACACUGUGUGUGAAGGUGUGUAUAUCUGUAUGUCAGAUACAUACACACACACACACACACAGAUAUACACACUGGCACAAACAAACACAGAUACACAC